CAUUCUAUCCUUCGUUUUAGCUUCCUGAGAUUUAAAAACCCAGCUACGUUUUUUCUCCGGCUUAUUCUCGAGUUUUUAUUGACAUUUUUUAUCAUCUUUGUUUCUCAGAUUUUUUUAAUGGGUCGUUUUUAAAAGAACGUCGAUGUGAUGUGGACAGUGAAUAAAAUAGUCGGAGUGAAAGUGUAGACGAUGCAUAUCUUAACAGAAACUCAUACGUAUAUGUGUGCAUCCUCGCGCAAUGCUUGACCGACUUAACUGAAAGUCAAUAGCGUGAACCAAACUGCGAAAGAAAUUCGUGUUAGAGCAAUUAAAACAGUGCUCUAGCGUGUUGAUUGAAUAAUUUAAUAGCGGCAAGUCGAUUAUCUAGACAUCACUGAUGUGGAAUAAUGAUCUUCGUUUCCUGGAAUCUACGUUUAUUCCUUUCGCAUGAACUGCUAGACAGUGCUUAUGUUGAGAACAGUGCGAAAUAAGAACAAUGUGUUAUAAUAAGUAAAUUGUAAAAUAACCUCAACAUUUAGCGCGUCACCGAAGUUAAUACAAGAAAAUUAAUAACUAAAAGAUUAAGCUUCUUGAGAUAUUGCAUCAA